rnacentral:tRNA from 1 species
CUCCGCUUGGUGUAGUUGGUUGAUCACGUUCGACUGUAAAUCGAAAGGUCGCUAGUUCGAUUCUGGCAGCGGAGA